rnacentral:lncRNA from 1 species
UUGGCUAGAACUCGGCUGGGAUGUUUGAUGGAGCGGAAUGGCUCUCUAUCCCGUCGAUCUAGGAGAAGUUCGAAUAUUUUUGAGGUUGCUGAAUAGUCUACCGUUGUCGGAUGCCUCGGGCGUUGAUGCUACAAGCGGGAGUCAUCUGCUGUAGAAGCUCGGAUGGAUAUUUUCUGUUGGUGAAGUCUGGUAGGAGUCUGAUUGCUAGAGAAGUCUAUCUAAAAUUUGCCUGAUGUGGAAGCUCGUCUGAAGAUUAUCCAUCAGAGAAGUCCAGUUUCAUGAAGAAUCAGACGGAGGGUCGGCCGGCGGGGGACUUCGGAUGGCGUUGGG